CUUAAAAAGCUCGUAGUUGGAUUUCUGCAGAAGUUGGACGGCCUGAGCUUCACAGAAGUUUCAUGGAACAGUCACGAUUUUUGCAUCCUGUCACAAACUGCUCUGGUCUUAAUUGAUUGGGGUCCAGGGACUGACACAUUUACUUUGAGAAAAAUAGAGUGUUCAAAGCAGGCAUAUGCCUUGAAUAAAUUAGCAUGGAAUAAUGAGAUAGGACUUUGGUUCUAUUUUGUUGGUUGUUCGAGGACCGAAGUAAUGAUUGAGAGGGAUGGUUGGGGGCAUUAGUAUUCUGAAG
rnacentral:rRNA from 1 species